rnacentral:tRNA from 1 species
GCAGGUGUAGCUCAGUUGGUAGAGCAAUUGAUUUGUAAUCAAUAGGUCGCAGGUUCAAACCCUGUCACCUGCU